UUUCUGCUGAGCUACGAUGGGAACCCCCAAGUCCUCAAGGUUUAUGAAGAAGAUUCAACUGGCAGCUGAUAAAAUUCUAGAUCUGGAAUUUGUUUAAUUACAAAACUUCUAUUCUGUAUUAACAUGAAUGAACACUGUAGCUAGUAAUGAAAGUGUUUUUUCUUUAUAAAAAAUAGAAGUAUUUUUCAGAAUUCUGGGAAAUGUUGAAAUAAUUUUGGCUCUAGUCAUACUGCGUUUAAUGCUAUUGAGAAAAUUGCUAACAUUAACAAAAAUAUUUUGUAAUUUCCUCUGUUAUUGCUACUGGUGAUGAGGGAUGUAAAGUUGGCGUGCUUUCAUGAUUUGAACAUUUCAUUAUAACUUUGGAUUUUACAUGUCAGAAGCAAUUUUAGUUAAGAUGGUUGAGAACAUUUUUACUUAGGGAUAGAGGUCAGGCUCUGAUUAUUUGUAUUUUUAGGUCAGUGAUGUAAAGAAUCACUGUAAUCAUGCUAAUUACAUUCAUGUAUACUUCAUGUAUACUUGAAGUAAAUACAUGUAUAAUUUUGUAUGUAAAUAUUGCAUAGUAUUUAUGUAUUUCUGUGACUUUAUUUUUAGUUCCUUAGAACAUAGUGGUUUGGGACCAAGGAAUAGGUUUAAUUUCUAUAUUGGUCAUUUUAUUUUGUUAUUUUCUGUGACCACUGGUAACAUUCAUUUUGCAGAUAUAAGCUGUUUUCAUCAGGGAACUUUGGCAAGAGAAUGGCUGGAUCAGCAAGUCCAUCUCCAUCAUGGAACAACAACUUGAAGCUCAUCUCUGUUGAUGAGGGAAUUGCUCUGUGUAUAACUGGAUUCAUUGUGCCCAUGAGAGGAGCUAAGUUCAGGAGCCUCCUGUAUUGUCAUUUUGGACUGGAACUCAGAAGCAAGUUUUGAUAGAAAAUCUUAAAAUGUACAGUCUGUAGGAUGGGGGUAGACUGAAUACCUGCUUCACGGAAUACUUGCUUCAAAUCACCUUUCACAUCUUCUUGUUGGAAAGACAAUCAUUGGAGAAUCGUCUUGUUACUGUCAGCAAAACUGAAAAGAAAUCAAGACAUUAAGAAUGCCACAGUGGCCAGCAGUUAAUGAUGCCAGUGUUAUGCAAGCUUCGGCAAAGGAAUUUUUUUCAAGACAGCGUGCCUCACUAGCCAGAAAUCAGGAAAGGUUGAACCUAUCCUUUUUAUCUCAGCUGUUUCUUCAGUCAGUGCAGCCCCUCCUAAUUAAAGUGAAUUGAAACAUGCAUUGCCUUUUCAGCUUAAUUGAGUACUUACUAUGUGUGAAUCACUGCACAGAAUAGGGGAGGGAAAAUGAGGGAGACAAAUAAGAUAUUGUCCCUGCCUUCAUUGGAUUUACAGUUAGUUUAAGGGCUUUUUUUGUCUUCUGCUCUUAAUUAAGUGUAUCCCUAAGACAGGAAAUGAAUGGAAAAGUGUAUUCUGUAAGUAUUUGAAAUCUCCUUAAUAUAAGACGAAAUAAAAACUAAUGUG
ensembl:lncRNA